rnacentral:pre_miRNA from 1 species
GUGCUACUCCCUCCGUCCGAAAAUACUUGUCUUGAAAAUGGAUAAAAUGAAUGUAUCUAUAACUAAAAUAAAUCUAGAUACAUCCAUUUAUAGAACAAGUAUUUCGAGACGGAGGGAGUAGUUU